GACGAACGCUGGCGGCGUGCCUAAUACAUGCAAGUAGGACGCAGUUGCGAACGGAUGAGUAACGCGUAGGUAACUCCCUAUUUGAGGGGAAUAACUAUGGGAGACGAUAACUAAUACCGAAUACUAGUAGAUGGACCUGCGUUGUAUUAGCUAGUAGGUGGGGUACUGGGCUACCUAGGCAACGAUACAUAGCCGACCUGAGAGGGUGGUCGGCCACACUGGGACUGGGACCCGGGCCAGACUCCUUCGGGAGGCAGCAGUAGGGGAUCUUCGGCAAUGGGGGGAACCCUGACCGAGCAACGCCGCGUGAGUGGAGAAGGGUUUCGGGGCGUAAAGGUCUGUUGUUAAGGAAGCGGUACUUAACCAGGAAGGGACGGCUAACUACGUGCCAGCAGCCGCGGUAAUAC
rnacentral:rRNA from 1 species